ensembl:lncRNA
GAGAGGUUGUGCGUGCAGUCAAAGCCGUAAACGCAAGCCUUAGCCUGAAAAAAGAAAUAAAUGGACUAAAGCACCAGGGCUGGCUCUGACAGGAAGUGGGGACUCGGGACUUCAAAUACAAACAUUAUGAAAAACAAGCAACAUCUGCAAACAAUGGCGCCUUAAUUUAUAAACAAGUUGGAAAAGCAGAGGGAACAGAAAGGCAGCACCUCCAGGGCAAGCUGCAGCAGCCUUUCAAGGAAGGAAGGGCUGGUCACACCUUCUUUGUUUGCAGGAGAAGGCAGGGCAGCACUGUGCUCACCACGGACUGAAGAGCUGAGCCUCAGAAAGGUCAGGAGACGACAGUGCUAUGGCAGGAAGCAGAUCAGAGCUGCUGAGAGGCACACUGAGGUGUUCAGCCUUCAGUAUGCAUGGGGAAGGACACUUUCGGGGAUGGCACAAAUAUUUGCCGCUAAAGAGCACGGACAGAGCAGAAAACUUUGCUCUUCAUGUCAUUCAAAUUUGUUUACCACCUUUUGCUCUUGGAGG